AAAAAUGAUUCACAGACAAAGGCGUUCCGCAAUUUCUCCGCACGAUUUCGAUUUUGCGUUUGAGUUUAGAAAACAAACAUAGGACGUCUAUUCUAUACAAUAGUACUUACUACGAGUUUUUCGAAUAAUUUUUUUUUUUUUUUUAAAUAUUUUUUUUCAAUUUAACCACCGAGACUUUAAUAAAAACCUUUUGAAAAAUAAGUCCCAGUGAAAAUACUUUUCUAGAAAAAGAACCUAAACACGAUCAGAAUAAUUCGCGAAACGCCUUUGUCGGCGCAAAAUAUUACCCUAGAGAUGAAUGGCGAAGACAAAUAUCGUCGCCUCGGUCCACCGUUCAAGAAGAGCCCCGUUUACGAGUUCUACGAGUUUGGCUCCGGGAUUAUGGUAGGGGGCGGGGGUUGGUCUACCGGCCUCGGUAUAACAUAAGUUAUCGUUAUCGUGUUGUACCGGACCCAACGAACAAUAUUAUUUGUAUUUUUUUUUUUUUUUUUUUUUUGUAAAAUACUAGGUCUGAUCGAAAAUUUCCAAGAUUGUUUGAAUUGCGGGCCAACGGAUCGUCCAAGAGCAGUUGAUAUCACUGGCUUCUGUGACUACCCCCGGGUACGUCCGUAUCCGUGAAAUCUCUAUAAUGUUAUUUGUUUCGGUGUGACCGAUGUCCGUGUAACGUUUUUCUUUUCGCCUUUGGCGUUAUUGUAAUCAAAACGAGAGAAAAAUAUGGGGAGUUAGGUUGAGAGGAUUUUCACUGUUGUUUAUUCCCGGUCGGUAGAGGAACGCAACGUUUCGCGUGUCCCGUGCCAACAAAUCGUAACUGAAAAACCGCGGACGUGCCGAAUGAAAGUGUGUCUGGAGAACGCGGAGGGAACGUCGAAAACGAAUCCAAAUUCAGGUUUGUCGGGAACUUUUCGGGUACCCGCGGCAGUCAUCGAAACGAGAGAAAAACCCUCUCCGACCGCUCAAGAGUGUCGAGUCGUUGCUCUUCGGGAUUCGUCGAAAAACAUAACGUCGCAGAGAAGACGAAGAACAAGGGCCCGGAGGAUUCGCAGAUACGGACGCUGCUCGGGGGUCACGAGCCGACGGUACCGAUCCCACUGUCCGCGUCUCGGAACGCGGGAAGGGUGGCGGAGCGCGGUUCACGGUCCCGGAACCUUUUGAUCGUAGACGGGGUAUCUGCCAAACGGGCAGUUUAAUUCAUAAAACGCGGGCUCGUAGUUAAUUUAACGGUAUUUUUAAAACGGAUUUAACGAUGCACAAUAAGAGAUUGUAAAUCUACCCGCCCCACCCCCACACC